GGGUACGUGGUGCAUUAGUGGUUAUCACGUUCGCCUCACACCUCCAUGGUUGGGGGUUUGAUACCCACCGUGGCCC